rnacentral:rRNA from 1 species
AGGACGAACGCUGGCGGCGUGCCUAACACAUGCAAGUCGAACGCGCUCCAUUCGGUAGCAAUACUGAUGAAGAGCGAGUGGCGAACGGGUGAGUAGCACGUGAGCAACCUGCCCCGAAGACCGGGACAACACCGGGAAACCGGUGCUAAUACCGGAUAUCCCUAUCGGACCGCAUGAUCUGAUAAGGAAAUGGAUUCCGCUUCGGGAGGGGCUCGCGGCCUAUCAGCUAGUUGGUGAGGUAACGGCCCACCAAGGCAUCGACGGGUAGCUGGUCUGAGAGGACGAUCAGCCACACUGGGACUGAGACACGGCCCAGACUCCUACGGAAGGCAGCAGUGGGGAAUCUUGCGCAAUGGGCGAAAGCCUGACGCAGCAACGCCGCGUGGAGGACGAAGGCUUUCUGAGUUGUAAACUCCUUUCAGCAGGGACGAUAGUGACGGUACCUGCAGAAGAAGCACCGGCCAACUACGUGCCAGCAGCCGA